AUUGAACGCUGGCGGCAGGCCUAACACAUGCAAGUCGAGCGGAUGAAGCGUGCUUGCCCCUGGAUUCAGCGGCGGACGGGUGAGUAAUGCCGAGGAAUCUGCCUGGUAGCGGGGGAUAACGUCCGGAAACGGGCGCUAAUACCGCAUACGUCCUGAGGGAGAAAGUGGGGGAUCUUCGGACCUCACGCUAUCAGAUGAGGCUAGGUCGGAUUAGCUAGUUGGUGGGGUAAAGGCCUACCAAGGCGACGAUCCGUAACUGGUCUGAGCGGAUGAUCAGUCACACUGGAACUGAGACACGGUCCAGACUCCUACGGUAGGCAGCAGUGGGGAAUAUUGGACAAUGGGCGAAAGCCUGAUCCAACCAUGCCGCGUGUGUGAAGAAGGUCUUCGGAUUGUAAAGCUCUUUAAGUUGGGAGGAAGGGCAGUAAGUUAAUACCUUGCUGUUUUGACGUUACCAACAGAAUAAGCACCGGCUAACUUCGUG
rnacentral:rRNA from 1 species